UCCGGUUUAACACCGGCAGUCCCUCUAGAGAUCCACUUGCGAGGCAACUAAAGGCGAGGGUUGCGCUCGUUGCGGGACUUAACCCAACAUCUCACGACACGAGCUGACGACAGCCAUGCAGCACCUGUCUCUCUGUCCCCGAAGGGAAAGCUGACUUUCGCCAGCGAUCAGAGGAUGUCAAGACCAGGAUAAGGUUCUUCGCGUUGCGUCGAAUUGAACCACAUGCUCCACUGCUUGUGCGGGUCCCCGUCAAUUUCUUUGAGUUUUAAUCUUGCGACCGUACUCCCCAGGCGGGGUGCUUAACGCGUUAGCUACGUUACUGAAAGGGUUAACACUUCCAACAACAAGCACCCAUCGUUUACGGCGUGGACUAC
rnacentral:misc_RNA from 1 species